CACGUAGGGUGCGAGCGUUGUCCGGAAUUAUUGGGCGUAAAGAGCUCGUAGGCGGUGUGUCGCGUCGGCCGUGAAAACUUGCAGCUUAACUGUGGGCGUGCGGUCGAUACGGGCAUCACUGGAGUUCGGCAGGGGAGACUGGAAUUCCUGGUGUAGCGGUGAAAUGCGCAGAUAUCAGGAGGAACACCGGUGGCGAAGGCGGAUCUCUGGGCCAUUACUGACGCUGAGGAGCGAAAGCGUGGGGAGCGAACAGG
rnacentral:rRNA from 1 species